AAUCAACGCUGGCGGCGUGCCUAACACAUGCAAGCCGAACGCGAAAGCCCGCAAGGGUGAGUAGAGUGGCGCACGGGUGAGUAACACGUGGACAACCUGCCUUCGAGUGGGGAAUAACCUUCCGAAAGGAGGGCUAAUACCGCAUAACACCUCGGGACACAAGUUCUGGGGUUGAAAAGAGCAAUUUGCUCGAAGAGGGGUCCGCGCCUGAUUAGCUAGUUGGUGAGGUAACGGCUCACCAAGGCUUCGAUCAGUAGCCGUCCUGAGAGGGAGCACGGCCACACUGGAACUGAGACACGGUCCAGACUCCUACGGGAGGCAGCAGUGGGGAAUUUUGGCAAUGGGCGAAAGCCUGACCAAGCAACGCCGCGU
rnacentral:rRNA from 1 species